GUAGGGAAUCUUCCACAAUGGACGAAAGUCUGAUGGAGCAACGCCGCGUGAGUGAAGAAGGUCUUCGGAUCGUAAAACUCUGUUGUUAGAGAAGGACGUGCAUGAUAGUAACUGAUCAUGUAAUGACGGUAUCUAACCAGAAAGCCACGGCUAACUACGUGCCAGCAGCCGCGGUAAUACGUAGGUGGCAAGCGUUGUCCGGAUUUAUUGGGCGUAAAGGGAACGCAGGCGGUUUUUUAAGUUCGAUGGGAAAGCCUUCGGCUUAACCGAAGAAUAGCAUUGGAAACUGGAAGACUUGAGUGCAGAAGAGGAGGGUGGAAUUCCAUGUGUAGCGGUGAAAUGCGUAGAUAUAUGGAGGAACACCAGUGGCGAAAGCGGCUCUCUGGUCUGUAACUGACGCUGAGGUUCGAAAGCGUGGGUAGCAAACAGGAUUAGAUACCCUUGUAGUCC
rnacentral:rRNA from 1 species